UACGUAGGGUGCGAGCGUUAAUCGGAAUUACUGGGCGUAAAGCGUGCGCAGGCGGUGAUGUAAGACAGGUGUGAAAGCUCCGAGCUUAACUUGGGAAUUGCGCUUGUGACUGGCGAGCUGGAGUGUGGCAGAGGGAGGUGGAAUUCCACGUGUAGCAGUGAAAUGCGUAGAGAUGUGGAGGAACACCGAUGGCGAAGGCAGCCUCCUGGGCCAGCACUGACGCUCAUGCACGAAAGCGUGGGAAGCAAACAGG
rnacentral:rRNA from 1 species